rnacentral:rRNA from 1 species
AUUGAACGCUGGCGGAAUGCUUUACACAUGCAAGUCGGGCGGCAGCGCGGGGGCAACCCUGGCGGCGAGCGGCGAACGGGUGAGUAACAUAUCGGAACGUACCCUGUCGUGGGGGAUAACUAUCCGAAAGGAUAGCUAAUACCGCAUACGACCUGAGGGUGAAAGCGGGGGACCGCAAGGCCUCGCGCGAUAGGAGCGGCCGAUAUCGGAUUAGCUAGUUGGUGAGGUAAAGGCUCACCAAGGCGACGAUCCAUAGCUGGUUUGAGAGGAUGAUCAGCCACACUGGGACUGAGACACGGCCCAGACUCCUACGGGAGGCAGCAGUGGGGAAUCUUGGACAAUGGGGGGCAACCCUGAUCCAGCCAUGCCGCGUGCGGGAAGAAGGCCUCGGUUGUAACCGCUUUCUAGCCGGAAGAAAUACGCCAAGGCUAAUAUACCUUGGUGGAUGACGGUACCGGAAGAAGAAGCACCGGCUAACUACGUGCCAGCAGCCGCGG